rnacentral:rRNA from 1 species
CAGCAGCCGCGGUAAUACAGAGGGUGCGAGCGUUAAUCGGAUUUACUGGGCGUAAAGCGUGUGUAGGUUGUUGUUCAAGUCAGUUGUGAAAUCCCUGGGCUCAACCUGGGAACUGCUUCUGAGACUGAACGACUAGAGUACGGUAGAGGGUGGUGGAAUUUCCGGUGUAGCGGUGAAAUGCGUAGAUAUCGGAAGGAACAUCAAUGGCGAAGGCAGCCACCUGGGCCUGUACUGACACUGAGACACGAAAGCGUGGGGAUCAAACAGGAUUAGAUACCCCUGUAGUCCCUGUCUCUUAUAA